rnacentral:tRNA from 1 species
GCCACGGUGGUCUAGCGGUUAGAACGCUGGCCUUGUAAUCCUGGGGUCCCGGGUUCGAUUCCCGGCGGUGUCC